CCCAACUGUAAUUACCCAUUAUUCUUUAAUAAAUAAAAUCUAAUCUAAAUAAAUUAAUCACCCUUUUCCUUUUCUUCUACGCAAUAGUAUCACUCUCUCUCUCUCUCUCUCUCUCUCUCUCUGCGUUCUCUCCUUUUUAUCUCUACUGGCGCUCUCUCGCUCUCUCCCCCUCCGGCAGAUGUCGCCGGUUCUCGCCGCCUCCGGCGUGGCGAGGCCGGCUCCUCAUCUUCUCCUUCCUCUCUAUUCCCUAUUUUCUCCCCAAAUUCUAAAACCCCCAAAUUCUAGGGUUUUCUGCCUCCCCUUUCCCCUCUGAAAUUCGCCUCUCCGGUGAAUCCCGCCGCCACCACCGCCGUCUUCGUUCCAGGUAAUCUCUUUUCCUCCUUCUCUCACAAUCUAUCUCUCUCUGUCCUCUCUCUGAUCUCCCUCUCGAUCUCCUCCUCUGCCCUCUUGCUCGCGGCGGCCGCGGCAGCGCAUGCAGCGCCGAUUGUCGCCGCCGCCCUGCUCUCUUUAUCUCUUUGCUUCCCUCUCCCUCUCACGUCUCUUUAAGUCUCACUCUUCUCUAUCGGCUCUUGGUCGCGACGGCCGAUGCGAGCCACGACGGCGCAGCAGCGCUGGCGCUCGCCGCCGUUUCUGCUCCUCCUUCUCUGCCUCCCUAACUUCGCCCCUAUCUCCCUCUCUCGUUCGUCUCUCUUUGUUUCUCUCCCCGUUGGCAGCCACCGCGGACCGCCGUGGCGUGGGCAGCGCCGGCGGUCGCUGCCGCUAGUCGCGCCUCCGCUGCGGUGGCUCGCGGCUGCUGCUGCCGUCCCUUCCCCUGUUCUAAUUCUUCUUCUUCUUCUUCUCCUUUUUCUCUAUUUUUCAAUACUUCAAAUUAAUAAAUAAGUUUCUAAUUAUUUCCUAUUUCAGGAAUCCAUGAUUCGAGAUGGUUCCAGCGAGGCAGCCCGUCUUCUGAUACUGUAGCUUAGCUCAAGCUUCUACCUUUCUUCUUUCUCUUUUGUUACACUAUCUGCUUUUCUUUUAUUGAUUGAUGUAAAACUGAAGUAUAGUGGUGAUGAGGAAGCAUACUGUUUUUGUAGAAAUUAUAGUUAGGGACUGUUGCAACUAUGCUUGUAUCUACUUGGCGUAGCUAUUAUUCGUGGCUACUGAUCUUGGUCUACAUAAUGAAAUUACUGUAUUGUAAAAAGGAAUACUACCUGCUUGGUGAAGUGGAAGAUUGUUGGAUAUGAGUGAUUGUUGAUAAUAGUUGGUGUCUGUGCAGAGUGGGGAAAAAUGGUUUUGGUAGGGAUUGAGGGGAAGAUAUACUAGUUUACGUCGGUUUACACAGCAGCUGAGUAUAAAGUUUCAAGCAACGUGUUCUCCCAAUAGCUAGUUUGCUUAAAUAAAUCUAAUCGACAGCUUAGAGCUAAUUGAUUCACAGCUAACACAAAGAAUUGGGCUUGGGCCUCUUUAAAAAAAUCAUUGGCCCAAAUGAUAAAGUAUUGGGCUUAUUUAAACUUAGCCCAUAUAUACAUGUAUUGGAC
rnacentral:lncRNA from 1 species